rnacentral:tRNA from 1 species
UCCCUGAUGGUCCAGUGGUUAGGAAUCUGCCAUUCCACUGCAGAGGGCACAGGUUCAAUUCCUGGUCAAGCAG